UACUUACCAAUAAGUGUGUGUAUCCUAGG
rnacentral:piRNA from 1 species